rnacentral:lncRNA from 1 species
AACAUUAACACCCAGCAACCAGGAGAGGAGAGAGGCCUGGGGAAGACAGCCACCACCAAGUACACAAAGGUUGAAAGAGGACGUUUGUGGGAAGUAGACAUUUGUGAAUGUGGAUUUAGAAGAUUUUUCCCUGUGAUGAGCUGAGUCAUGGGUGAGAGCUGGAGAAAACAGAGUCUUCUCAAUGCGAAGAUGAUGAGAAUGGAGACUUUUAUGAUGAUCCACUUC